UUUGAAAAUCUCUUUUUCAGGAAUUGUGACUUAGUUAUCCUGAAGCUAAAUUUAUUAUUUCUAUUGUGAUACCCCUCUGCUCUGCUUACGAACUUGUUUCGUGAGGAAUAUGCCAUUGAUUUAAUUAUCUAUAGUUUAACUUUCAAGCUUAUUGUAAUUAAUGCUGCAAUUAAAUGGGGGGGGGGGGGUAUGUUGCCUCACUUUUAGAAAACCCACCAAAACUUUUGAAACAAUUAAAAAGAGCAAUAAUCUAUUAUUAGCAAAAUGAAGUUAAUAAAGACCCAAGUUGUGCUGAUUCUUGAAAAAAUUUAAUGGUUCUGGCAUAAUAGCGUAAAAGUAGAUUUUGGUCAAUUUAAUAUGCUAUAUUGCUCUUUUAACUUUGUUUUUCAAUUCUAAUCACAAAACAACACUAGUUCAUUAUAAAAGAUAAUAUUUAUCAUUGAAAUUGCACCAGAAAUUGUUUUUGUAAUGUGGAUCAUGGGACCCAGGGCAGGUUGGUUCACUUCACAAAGUUCUGUUGAAAAAGUUAAUGAAUUAAAUAUUUUCUGGGAUGAUGAGAAAUAUUUAAUAAAACUCGUGUUAGAAAAUAAAACUACUCAUUUAAUAUUAUGAUGAGAUAAAAAAAAGAAAAGUAGAGAUGCAGACCAACGUGCCCCAACUCCUCCUAUAUUUCUGUGAAGUAAAAGUUCUUCCGAAAGUCCAAGUUUUUUUAAAGUAUAAGUUGUAAUUCCUUUUAAAGGGUUUAGUACUUUUCUUUCUUUUUUCUGUGCAGGCUGUUCAAGUAUUUUAGUAAAGAAAGGCUUGUGUUGAAACAGUUGCCGUAUGUAUUGUCCGUAACGUUUUGUCUAGUCCAUAACCAAAUUUAUAAAACUAAUAAAAAAUACCUAGUUUCAAUUUUCAUGAAACUUAUUUUGGAAUUAACACUAUAGGUAAGAUUAGAAAAUAUUCAAUUUAGUGAUAUAACGAGCAUAAAGAAAAAUUUUAACAAAACUUGUCUUCUAAUUAUUGUUACGGACUCGACAAUCAUCAAUUUCACUACUUAUAAUUUUUUAACGAACUCACUUUUUAAAUAAAAUUAUUACCUGUAUUACAGAUGAUCGUUUACUUCAUUUGUCCCAAGUGCAAGUUUUGGCUUUAAAUUCAGUUCAAGCUACUAUUGAAGAAAAAUUCAAUCCAUAUUCAGAGUCUGUAACAAAAAACCGUUUAUUUUUGAUGUUUUGAGUGUAAUUACAUGCAUAAUAUAAAGUAAAAAAAGAUUUUAAAAAAAAAUGACAUUCAUGGUUUUUGGAAUGUUCUUUUUAAAGAUAUAUAAAAAUUUUAACAAAUUUUGUUAUGGACAUCCCUAUGUCACAAAUACUGUGAAAUGCUCUUUUGCUACCUAUUGAUUGUUAAUAUCAAAGAAGCAAUGAUACAUCCGACUAUCAAAAGUUAAGCCCAGAAAGAAAAAUAUUUAUUAUAGGAAGCCAAAAUCAUUUAGAAAACUGCCGGCUUCAGGGGUGCCCCCCCCCUAACACCUAGGGUGCCCCCUCCCUAAAUAUUGCUAAGAUUCUACUCAAAAACAAGAGCCCCCCCUCAAAAAAAAAGAGAAAAAUGCCCCUCAAAACACCCCCUUAAAAUUUCAAUGGCACAGUCAAAGCCAUGAUUCCCCCUAGGUGGUCACCCCUGGACGGCUUUACUAUGUUGCAAUUGGGAAGUGGGGAGGGACGUCUGUUCCUCAAAGGUUUAUUUUUAGAGGGGUCUUCAAAAAGUCCCCUCCUAACCUAUAAUUUUUUUCCUGAUGGAGAAGCUGCAACUGUGUGUGAGUGGUGCAUUUAUCAAUCUGUGCUUAACUUUUGGAAGUAAAAUGAUGUGUUUGAGAUAUUCAAGGUCAGAAUCAGGGCUGGGCCGUCCCUAUGUGCAAGGUCGUGCAACGCACGACGGCGCCAGAACCAAAAAGGCGCCGAGCUCUACCAAUCAAAAAUGCUCCAAAUGAAGGGAAAAAGCUCUAACCGAAAAAAGAAAUCAUAGGAAAGCUUAUAAUGACCGUCGAGAUUUUAAAUGAUGGAAUUCUUUGAUGAAGAUCUUAUCCGUCCAAUAGAUUUGAGACUUGGUUCUAUCUGAUGAUAGAUACAAACUGAGUAUGAGAAAAGUUUUUGUUCGAUGAGAUUCAUGAUGGAAAAUAGCUUUUAUUUCUAUUGGUGAGCAGUAUUACCCGCAUCUACCUUACUUAGUGUUGUUGGCUAUUAGUGUUGAUGUUCAUCUCUGUUAGUUGAGGAUGCUGUCUUGUGAAUUGCUCCAUUUUGUGCAGAUCCAGUCUUGAUGUUGUUGUUGGUCAGAUAUACAAGGAAGGUGAUUCGAACUUCAGAUGAUGCUUGUGAAAAUAUUUGUUUUUCAAGCGGCAAAAGUUGCAAAAUGUGAGCAUGAAAAAUCUCUGGGAUUAGGAGUCUUGGGCACUUUUGUUCUCAAUCCCGGAGGAUUAAUCCAGCUAAAUAUCAUGAAGGAUUUGGGAUCAGGACUUCAGGAUUGGAAAUCCUGGCCAACAUAUGACAUGUAAGCCGCAAGAAAUUGCUGUCUCUGUUUGAGAUUCAAUUCUUUUGCAUCUUAUUAAAGAGCUACAGAAAUUAGGAGUGUCCUAUCUUGCUGAAGCAGAUGCUUGGGGGCAUGCAACCACAUGCAAGUGAUGUUGCUAGAGAUUUUAUGCAUGAAAAAAGACUAGUUAUCAAAAUGCUUCUUCCAGUAUGUGCCAUAAGAAACAUUGCAAUCGACGGGAAAAAUGCUUUCUCUUAACCCUCCUAGUGGCAGGGUUGCUAUUUUGUCCACUCUUACGUAAAAAGUCCGGGACGGAGGAAGAAAUUAAACAAAAUGGACAAAAUUGGAUGAAAUAAAAAUCAAUUGAUUUUCCAUUUGUUUGAUACAUAGAUUUAUUGUUAUGGUGUAAUAAAAUUAGUACAUAUAAUACAUUAGCUCUUGUUAAUUAAUCAUUUGAUUAAAUGAGAAUGAUUGUAUUUUAUUAGAAUGUAAUAAAUCCAAAAAAAAGUUGUU